GACGAACGCUGGCGGCGUGCUUAACACAUGCAAGUCGAACGGAAAGGCCCUGCUUUUGUGGGGUGCUCGAGUGGCGAACGUGUGAGUAACACGUGAGUAACCUGCCCUUGACUUUGGGAUAACUUCAGGAAACUGGGGCUAAUACCGGAUAGGAGCUCCUGCUGCAUGGUGGGGGUUGGAAAGUUUCGGCGGUUGGGGAUGGACUCGCGGCUUAUCAGCUUGUUGGUGGGGUAGUGGCUUACCAAGGCUUUGACGGGUAGCCGGCCUGAGAGGGUGACCGGACACAUUGGGACUGAGAUACGGCCCAGACUCCUACGGGAGGCAGCAGUGGGGAAUAUUGCACAAUGGGCGGAAGCCUGAUGCAGCAACGCCGCGUGCGGGAUGACGGCCUUCGGGUUGUAAACCGCUUUCGCCUGUGACGAAGCGUGAGUGACGGUAAUGGGUAAAGAAGCACCGGCUAACUACGUG
rnacentral:rRNA from 1 species